UUUAGGAGGUUUGGGACCAGUUCCACCAGUUCCUGGGUAUUGACCAACACCACCUGGUCCAUAACCACCUCCGUAACCCCCAUAGCCACCUGGGACAUGACAGAGCUUUGCUUAUUAAAUAUAUAUCCUUCAAGGGAAGUGAUACAUAAAGUUUAAGGUACGACUCCCAGUCCACCACUGCCUGGACCAAAGGUGCUGGGUCUGAAACCUCCUGGUCCGACUCCUCCAGGCCCGACUCCUCCAGGCCCGACUCCUCCAGGCCCGACUCCUCCAGGCCCGACUCCUCCAGGCCCGACUCCUCCAGGCCCGACUCCUCCUGGUCCGACCCCUCCCGGUCUGACCCCUCCCGGUCCGACCCCUCCUGUUCCUUGAGCACCAUAGACCCCAGAGGAAUACCGUCAUAGGGACAGUAAAAGAAAAAUGACCUCCACCAGCUCCUGGUCCAAAACCCCCUAGACCAGCACCAGCUCCUCCUGGUCCAGCUCCUCCACCAGGCUGAAAUCCAGUACCGGCUCCUCCGGGUCCAAAUACUGUUCCAGCCCCACCUGGUCCAAAUCCGGUUCCAGGCCCUGCACCGGCUCCUGCACCAGCUCCUAUGCCAGCUCCAGCUACUCCACCAGCACCAGUAGGUGCCGCACUGCUGUGCACCGCACACAUGCAGGAAAGGGGACCCACCUCCUUGCAGUGAUGGUUUCCACAGAGCCAGGAGAAGGACUCCAUGUAGGGUAUGAACACUGAGGAGGGCACAACAUCAUGAAGAGGUCAGAGAGGUUCCAUCAUGCUGCAAGGUGACCGGUUACCAACGUGCUGACCAGAAUAUGAGCAACAUUGGAGUCCAGUUUUGUUUUCAAUUCCUGUUUUGCUCUCUGUGAGGCAGCUGGAAAGGAACCCCCCUCACUAAGGGUGGACAUGUUUUCACAGCCCUUCGUGUCUCCCAUGCAGCCCUGUUGACAUCAGUUAAACCGAGGAGAACCAUCCACAGCUCAGUGCCAGUAGCACACAGGCUGCAACA